rnacentral:rRNA from 1 species
GACAGAGGGUGCAAACGUUGUUCGGAAUUACUGGGCGUAAAGCGUGUGUAGGCGGCCUUAUAAGUCGGAUGUGAAAGCCCAGGGCUCAACCCUGGAAGUGCACUCGAUACUGUAAGGCUCGAGUACUGGAGAGGUUGGUGGAAUUCUCGGUGUAGAGGUGAAAUUCGUAGAUAUCGAGAGGAACACCGGUAGCGAAGGCGGCCAACUGGACAGAUACUGACGCUGAGACACGAAAGCGUGGGGAGCAAACAGG